AAUCAACUCAAAAUUAAAGUUCCUGCUUCAAUUGUGGAUCUUUUAUCUGCUGUAUUUCUAUUCACUUUAUGAUUCAUUAUUAAGGUUGUUUUAAAACAGAUAUGCCCUUCAUUGCCUGGUCAAGAGCCUCUGUACCUAGUAACCAUAGCUAUUGAUAAAAUUGACACUAUAUCAAUGUGUCUUGCAGAAGGCAUUGUAGGGUAGCAGCUGUUGAUCAGUUUCUCACCUCUAAGUGUUGAACCUCUAAUCAGAUCCGCAUUGAACUAGGUGAAGAUUUCUCAUUUCCCAGUAGACCAAAUCAGAUUAUACGGACAAAUCAGGUUCCUUCACAAAACAGAUUAACAUAGAGUAAUUAAUUCUGGGAUUUCACACGUAGCACUUUAAUCUCUCCAGCAAUAGUACAUCCCAGAGCAUAGGUUAACAAAUGCUAAUGUAUUGGUUUAUUUUAAUCUGUUAAUUCUGUUUUUCUUAAUUCUCCUUCUUGCUCAUAUACCUGGCUCGCAGAUUUGAUAAGAACUCCAUGUCGGACAAGGACUGCACAUCAAGAAGAGGAUGGAUCCUGAAACUAAAGAAAUCUAAAGAACAUCAACAGCUUUACGCAGGAGCCACGGAGGAGACCUCUGUCUUUGAUGAGGAUACCUCAGAGCCAUCAUCCACUUGUUUGCCAAAGAGUUGCAUGAUACAUGAACGGAACUGAUAAGGAAAAAAUAAAACAGUAUGUUACAAAUUUAAACCAAA